GUGCCCUCCGGGACCACGUCAGGGAGACUUCCCACCUGCGGUGUCCCCACCGCCGGGCUCUCCACCACAGCCGGGCCCACCUGCCAGUGGUUCUCACCUGGCCAGCUGACCUGUGAGCUCACACAGCGGUGCACGCUCUUAGCAAGAGGUUGGAGGAUCCCUGGCGCGCUCCAGCGCAGCUCUGCCCGGGAAUCCUGGAGGGGUGUCGGUGCCAGCGACACCCAGGCCGCAGCGAAGGGCCAGUUCCCAGCAGGACAGGUCGUCCGGAGCAGCAAGAUGCCGGGCUAGGCAGAGGGGCUCGUCCUGGGCUGUCUGGCUCUGCUUCAGCCCCAGGAUGUCCUGCGUAUGCUCUCUCACCAUAUUGUCAUUCUCUAGACCGCAAUGCCUUGUGAGCAGGACUCAGAAGCACCUGAGGGGCAAACCUCUGGGCACCUUUGAAGGUGUUUUUAGAGAUAAGACCCACUUCGAAUGAGGGCAGCACCGUCCCCGCAGACCAGGGUCCCUCCGUGAACGAAAAGGCCAAAGUGAGCUGAGCGCCACGUUCACCCUUCCUGACUGCCAGUGCGAUGUGACCAGCUAAUGCUCCUGUCACCAUGCCUUCUCCUUGAUGGCCUGGACCUUCAAACGGUGACUCAGACCCUUGCUCUUAUGUUGCCUUUGUCACGGCAGCGAGAGAAGUAGUGAAUACACAGGAAGCAGCCGAAGAAGGACAUUCAGAUGGGCAACAAUGGCUGUCCCAAACUUAUUGGCCUCAUCCUGCCCUCAUCCUCUCCGACCUAGGAAGCCACAAUGCUGGCUUUUGUGCUUACCUCGUCACUGGUGGCCAGAGCCACCCAAAGGAUUAGAUGUCCCUUCUUAGCGGGAGUCAGGUUUCCUGCCGCCUGUCAGAGCAAUGGGUCUUCUCGGGAUUGAGGGAUGGGACCUAGCCAGUGCAAUUACUGCUCGUUAGAUGUUCCAUUGAGGCUGAGACCCGGAGGGUCAGGGGAUGGGCAAGGAUGUCUGAAGAAGACACCCAGGCCAGAUGGCUCAUCUUGGAGGUGAUCAUGCCGUGUCCUGUGGCGGCAUCCACCCUCCCCAACUGUCAUUACAUGCCCAGCAGGUGUCUUGGACAGAUCAAUAAUAGAGUUAGCAUGCACUAGGCCCUGUUCUGAAUACUUCAUAUACAUCCACCUAAUUGUCCUGUGAAAUGGCAUUAUCAUUUUCCCAUUUUUCAGAUGAGGAAGCUGAGGCUCCAAGAUGUUAAAUAAUGUGCUCAAGGUCUUCCAACUGGAGAGCAGUAGAGCACUGAGUGAUUCUACCCAAGGGUCCAUUGAAUCUGUGCAGUCCUACUUUAAAGAUAGAAUGCCCUGGGCCUUCUGGCUCUGGUGCUCAGAAAGGAACAGACAGGUGAUGGGAGAGGCACAUCAAAUCCAUUUGAUAACAGGCUGUCCCUUCAGCGAGCUUCUGCCUGAAUACAGGUCCCCUAGGACUUGUCUGUCUCUUCAGGCGAAUGGUAGCUCUCCUGGGGACUGGGCAUGGAGGUGGGAUUGCUGAGGGAGAGUCUGAGAACCAGGCUCUGACUCUAGACUGUGUCACUUCCAGCUAGGCCUCUUGGCUGACUUUGCACACACUGAGCCCACAGCUUCCUGGAUUUGUGCUGGAGCCUCAAAACUCCACGUGUCCAGCACUCCCUUCCUGCCCCAGGGGGCUCCUCCCCUUCCUUGGGCCUCUCAGCUCCUGGAGUCCUGCCACCAUCUAAGCAAGAAACCUGUAAGGUAGCGCCCUUCUCCUCCAGCCAAUCAGUCGCCUGGGUGGUUGGUUCAACCAAGAGCACGCCUCUCCUUUCCCGAGGGCAGCUGCUCCAGCCCAGUGGUGGUCUCAGCAGUUACUGUGGGCAGCCCACUCAUCUUAGUGGUAGCUCUCCUAAAUGCCAUUUUCUUUCCCCUACAGCUUGUAUUUGCAAGUAAGGGAACUGGAGCACAGAGAGGUGAAGAAAUGUGCCCAAGGUUACCCUAAUGGCUAAUUGUAGGGCCAUCCUUGGUUGCCAGGAACGGUGCUGUAAGACUGGGUAGCAGAUGCCACCCCCAAACGCUGGGAACAGGCUGGUGGGCUAGCCCAGUCGACAGAGCGCUUGCCCAGCAUGCACAGAGCUCUGGACUCCAUCACCAGCACCGAAUACGUGAGUUGUGGUACAUGCCUGUAACCCCAGCCCUGGGGAAGUGGAGGAGGCAAGAGAAUAAAGGGUCCAAAGUUGUCAUCAGCUACAUAGCAAGUUCAAGGCCAGCCUGGACUACCAGAGACCCUGCCUCAGAGAGAGAGACAGACAGACAAAAAAAAACCAACCAACCAAGGCUUUGGGAACAUAAAGUCCAGUGGGGUUAUCUUUUCAUCUCCCUCCCACACUAAUCUGAUCAGUCUCCCUAAUCAGCAUAGUAUCUGGCAUAAAGAGAUGCUUGCUUCAUGAUUACAGAUGGAGAUGAAGUCAAGGGGAACCCUGGAAAUCAGGCACUGCCUGCUGAGGACCUGCAGAUGUGGGGCAGUGAGAAGGGUUGAUUCAGUCCGUUUGUUUUCAAGGUGUUCCCUUCCUUCAUGCUUCCUUAUUCCCUCCUCUCGUGUCCCGUGCUGCUGACGUCACUCACAAGCUUUAGCCACAUCAUUUGAGGGUGAAAGAAGUUGUUAACUGUUGGCCUUCAAAGGGACUGCAGAAAAGAGGCAGCCUGGAGACCGACCCUAAAUAAACAGUAGAGGGGUUCAUGCCCGAUGCCAGCCCCCUCCCAGGGUCUCUGGACUUCUACCUUGGCUAUCGCUAAGCAAUCAUGGGGAAAGAUGAAGACAAGCACCCAGGCCCCCCUUAUCCGGACUCCGCCUCCUGGCUCUGUAAAGUCCUCUAAAUCUUUUCCUAGGCUCCUUCUCUCAGGAGUGGUUCCAGUUCAGUUACUCAUCUCCUCUCCUGCCCAUUCCUGGGGUGGGGGCAGAAGCAGGGAGCUGGAAUGUCCACGGGCGCGAAGCCAAACCUUCCUAGGACUAACAGGUCAGAGCCAGUCACUCGUGGGCCACUUUGGGCAGUGAUGUGAGCAGAAGAAAGCUGGUCGCUGCCUUCCCUAAGUUGGGGAAAUGGGCAGGCAGGCUUUACAGGCAGGUCUGGGGGCUGGACAUGCUUCCAGCUGGUGCUCAAGAUCAGUGAGAGAGGGGCAAGGAAACCAUCACUGAGAAGACCUGAGGUGAAGACCAAAGGAUGGAGAGCCUGUGGGAGAGGACAGGCUCACGGAAGACACAAGGCUUAAGUCUCGAGGUGCCUGCAGCAGAGAGCAGGCCAGUUACUCAGAAAACUUGUGUUACACAAAAAUGCAGAGGAGAGCCACCUCUUCCUAGUCCCGGCUUUUGCUUCUCAAGGAGGAGGGGAAACAGAGAAAGGACACACACACACACACACACACACACACACACACACACACACACACACAGGCAGGCGCCAAAUGCUCUGGAGACAUCCUGUUUGACCUUGAAUGGUCAGUGCUCAGAAAUGGCCACUCCAGUGGUGGCCACUUCCCCUCCUUCCAGUCCCUUCUGCUUUCCUCAGCUGACACAGCUCCCCUCCUCCCCACAGCUGACCACCUGGUCACCUGCAGACCACCCCCUCCUCUCAGGGCCCCUCCUCCAGUGUUCCCAGACUUUUUUAACCUGUGGCUCAACUGUUCCCGUCCUCACCUAUGCUGAGCCUUGGGACUCUGUCCAGCCUUCCCUGCUGUCUGCUUUUGGCUGCUGGCAGGGUGGUGGCUGUAGGACCCAGGAGAGAAGUCCUGUGAGGUGGACCUCAUGAAAUAUCCAGUCCUGUGUCACAGGCCAGCCUGCUGGGUUGCUUCAGUUGUCCCCAGAGUACUGGCUAGGGUCGGGGAGGGAGGAACAAGGCAAUGAAGACAACUUGGCAUUCGGGCCAGAAAUAGAAUCUCUUUCCAGCACCAGAGCUGCCCCAAUCCUGCCCCCAAAUCCCACUCAGGAAAUGCUGGGGCCAGAGAGGAAGUUGCACAGUCCAAGACUUCCUGGCACCAGAUCCACUGCCCAUUUCCUCCCUUCAGAGAGGCCCUGAUCAGAGACCAGGGGAGGUGUAAAGAUGGAAGCCAGAGAAGGAAGCAGAGAGCCAAAGGGAAGUCUGUAAUUCCAACGGAGAGACCGGAGAGACCGCCGCAGACGACCAUGCCUGGGAUGGACCGCCGCAGACGACCAGCAGUCUCAGCUGUUCAGACUUCCCAAAACUUUAGGACUACAGGGAGUGCUCUCUGCUCCCCAGCCUCACCCUCUUCUUCCUCCUCCUUUUCCUCGAGGUUCUUUACCUUCAGGGGGAGGGGCGGGCCAGCCAUAUGCUCCAUGUAGACACAUUGCAGGAGUGACUAGAAUGCUAGCCUGACCUCCUUGACUGCCCAGACUCUUCAGGCUUUCAUGGACAUGCCCUAAUGGACCUGGGAGCCAUUACAGAAUGCAGCCACUACCCACUUGCUUCCCCUGCAGGUCCCUACCUGCAUCAGGCUUUGUACUGGCUCGUUUCCUGGGUCAACUUGACACAAGCUGGAGUCAUCAGAGAGGAAACAGCCUCAGUUGAGGAAAUGUCUCCAUGAAAUCCAGCUAUAAAGCAUUUUCUCAAUUGAUGAUCAAUGGGGGAGGGCCCAGCCCAUGUGGGUAGUGCCAUCCCUGGGCUGCUGGUCUUGGGUUCUAUAAGAGAGCAGGCUGAGCAAGCUAGGGGAAGCAAGCCAGUAAGCAGCACCCCUACAUGGCCUCUGCAUCAGCUCCUGCCUCCAGGUUCCUGCCCUGUGUGAGUUCCUGUCCUGACAUCUUCAUUGAUGAACAGCAAUGUGGACGUGUCAGCUGAAUAAACCCUGUCCUCC